GUAGGUGGCAAGCGUUGUCCGGAAUUAUUGGGCGUAAAGCGCGCGCAGGCGGUUCUUUAAGUCUGAUGUGAAAGCCCACGGCUCAACCGUGGAGGGUCAUUGGAAACUGGAGAACUUGAGUACAGAAGAGGAAAGCGGAAUUCCACGUGUAGCGGUGAAAUGCGUAGAGAUGUGGAGGAACACCAGUGGCGAAGGCGGCUUUCUGGUCUGUAACUGACGCUGAGGCGCGAAAGCGUGGGGAGCAAACAGGAUUAGAUACCCUGGUAGUCCACGCCGUAAACGAUGAGUGCUAAGUGUUAGGGGGUUUCCGCCCCCCUUAGUGAUGCAGCUAACGCAUUAAGCACUCCGCCUGGGAGUACGGCCGCAAGGCUG
rnacentral:rRNA from 1 species